AACGCGAAGAACCUUACCUGGGCUUGAACCGCUACUGACCAACGGUGGAAACAUCGUCUUCCCGCAAGGGACAGUAGUAGAGGUGCUGCAUGGCUGUCGUCAGCUCGUGCCGUGAGGUGUUGGGUUAAGUCCCGCAACGAGCGCAACCCUUACUCGUAGUUGCUACCCGCAAGGGAGAACUCUACGAGGACUGCUCCGGAUAACGGAGAGGAAGGUGGGGAUGACGUCAAGUCAGCACGGCCUUUAUGUCCAGGGCUACACACGUGUUACAAUGCACGGUACAGACUGUUGCGAACCCGCGAGGGGGAGCUAAUCGGAUAAAACCGUGCUCAGUUCGGAUUGCAGUCUGCAACUCGGCUGCAUGAAGCUGGAAUCGCUAGUAAUGGCGUAUCAGAUCGACGCCGUGAAUACGUUCCCGGGCCUUGUA
rnacentral:rRNA from 1 species